rnacentral:rRNA from 1 species
ACGGAAGGCAGCAGUGGGGAAUAUUGCACAAUGGGCGGAAGCCUGAUGUAGCGAUGCCGCGUGAGGGAAGAAGGUUUUCGGAUUGUAAACCUCUGUCCUCAGGGACGAUAAUGACGGUACCUGAGGAGGAAGCUCCGGCUAACUACGUGCCAGCAGCCGCGGUAAUACGUAGGGAGCGAGCGUUGUCCGGAAUUACUGGGUGUAAAGGGUGCGUAGGCGGGACGGCAAGUCAGAUGUGAAAUGUAUGGGCUUAACCCAUAACCUGCAUUUGAAACUGUUGUUCUUGAGUGAGGUAGAGGUAAGCGGAAUUCCUAGUGUAGCGGUGAAAUGCGUAGAUAUUAGGAGGAACAUCGGUGGCGAAGGCGGCUUACUGGGCCUUUACUGACGCUGAGGCACGAAAGCGUGGGGAGCAAACAGGAUUAGAUACCCUGGUA